GAUGAACGCUAGCGGCAGGCUUAACACAUGCAAGUCGAGGGGUAGAAGGAGCUUGCUCCUUUGAGACCGGCGCACGGGUGCGUAACGCGUAUGCAAUCUACCUUGUACAGGGGGAUAGCCCAGAGAAAUUUGGAUUAAUACCCCAUAGUGUAACGAAAAGGCAUCUUUUUGUUACUAAAGUUCCAACGGUACAAGAUGAGCAUGCGUCCCAUUAGCUAGUUGGUGUGGUAACGGCACACCAAGGCAACGAUGGGUAGGGGUCCUGAGAGGGAGAUCCCCCACACUGGUACUGAGACACGGACCAGACUCCUCCGGGAGGCAGCAGUGAGGAAUAUUGGUCAAUGGGCGCAAGCCUGAACCAGCCAUGCCGCGUGCAGGAUGACGGUCCUAUGGAUUGUAAACUGCUUUUGUACAGGAAGAAACACUCCCUCGUGAGGGAACUUGACGGUACUGUAAGAAUAAGGAUCGGCUAACUCCGUGCCAGCAGCCGCGGUAAGAC
rnacentral:rRNA from 1 species